GUCGAACGGAAAGGCCCUGCUUGCAGGGUACUCGAGUGGCGAACGGGUGAGUAACACGUGGGUGAUCUGCCCUGCACUUCGGGAUAAGCUUGGGAAACUGGGUCUAAUACCGGAUAGGACCGCACUUUAGUGUGUGUGGUGGAAAGUUUUUUCGGUGUAGGAUGAGCUCGCGGCCUAUCAGCUUGUUGGUGGGGUAAUGGCCUACCAAGGCGGCGACGGGUAGCCGGCCUGAGAGGGUGUACGGCCACAUUGGGACUGAGAUACGGCCCAGACUCCUACGGGAGGCAGCAGUGGGGAAUAUUGCACAAUGGGCGCAAGCCUGAUGCAGCGACGGCCGCGUGGGGGAUGAAGGCCUUCGGGUUGUAAACUCCUUUCGCUAGGGACGAAGCUUUUUGUGACGGUACCUAGAUAAGAAGCACCGGCUAACUACGUGCCAGCAGCCGCGGUAAUACGUAGGGUGCGAGCGUUGUCCGGAAUUACUGGGCGUAAAGGGCUCGUAGGUGGUUUGUCGCGUCGUCUGUGAAAUUCUGGGGCUUAACUCCGGGCGUGCAGGCGAUACGGGCAUAACUUGAGUGCUGUAGGGGUAACUGGAAUUCCUGGUGUAGCCGUGAAAUGCGCAGAUAUCAGGAGGAACACCGAUGGCG
rnacentral:rRNA from 1 species